GAUGAAGAACGUAGCAAAAUGCGAUAAGUAAUGUGAAUUGCAGAAUUCAGUGAAUCAUCGAAUCUUUGAACGCACAUUGCGCCCGCCAGUAUUCUGGCGGGCAUGCCUGUUCGAGCGUCAUUUCAACCCUCAAGCACAGCUUGGUGUUGGGACUCGCGUUAAUUCGCGUUCCUCAAAUUGAUUGGCGGUCACGUCGAGCUUCCAUAGCGUAGUAGUAAAACCCUCGUUACUGGUAAUCGUCGCGGCCACGCCGUUAAACCCCAACUUCUGAAUGUUGACCUCGGAUCAGGUAGGAAUACCCGCCGAACUUAAGCAUAUCAAUAAGCGGAGGA
rnacentral:misc_RNA from 1 species